AGUCGAGCGGAUGAAGGGAGCUUGCUCCUGGAUUCAGCGGCGGACGGGUGAGUAAUGCCUAGGAAUCUGCCUGGUAGUGGGGGAUAACGUCCGGAAACGGGCGCUAAUACCGCAUACGUCCUGAGGGAGAAAGUGGGGGAUCUUCGGACCUCACGCUAUCAGAUGAGCCUAGGUCGGAUUAGCUAGUUGGUGGGGUAAAGGCCUACCAAGGCGACGAUCCGUAACUGGUCUGAGAGGAUGAUCAGUCACACUGGAACUGAGACACGGUCCAGACUCCUACGGGAGGCAGCAGUGGGGAAUAUUGGACAAUGGGCGAAAGCCUGAUCCAGCCAUGCCGCGUGUGUGAAGAAGGUCUUCGGAUUGUAAAGCACUUUAAGUUGGGAGGAAGGGCAGUAAGUUAAUACCUUGCUGUUUUGACGUUACCAACAGAAUAAGCACCGGCUAACUUCGUGCCAGCAGCCGCGGUAAUACGAAGGGUGCAAGCGUUAAUCGGAAUUACUGGGCGUAAAGCGCGCGUAGGUGGUUCAGCAAGUUGGAUGUGAAAUCCCCGGGCUCAACCUGGGAACUGCAUCCAAAACUACUGAGCUAGAGUACGGUAGAGGGUGGUGGAAUUUCCUGUGUAGCGGUGAAAUGCGUAGAUAUAGGAAGGAACACCAGUGGCGAAGGCGACCACCUGGACUGAUACUGACACUGAGGUGCGAAAGCGUGGGGAGCAAACAGGAUUAGAUACCCUGGUAGUCCACGCCGUAAACGAUGUCGACUAGCCGUUGGGAUCCUUGAGAUCUUAGUGGCGCAGCUAACGCGAUAAGUCGACCGCCUGGGGAGUACGGCCGCAAGGUUAAAACUCAAAUGAAUUUGACGGGGGCCCGCACAAGCGGGG
rnacentral:rRNA from 1 species